UUUAGGGUGGCAGAGUCAGGUAUUAAUGCAAAAGGCCUAAGCCCUUUCAGUCAGGAGUUCAAAUCUCCUCCCUAAUC